UACGUAGGGUGCAAGCGUUAAUCGGAAUUACUGGGCGUAAAGCGUGCGCAGGCGGUUAUGUAAGACAGGUGUGAAAUCCCCGGGCUUAACCUGGGAACUGCAUUUGUGACUGCAUAGCUAGAGUACGGUAGAGGGGGAUGGAAUUCCGCGUGUAGCAGUGAAAUGCGUAGAUAUCGGAAGGAACACCGGUGGCGAAAGCGGCGCGCUGGAUCUCUUCUGACGCUGAGGCGCGAAAGCCAGGGGAGCAAACGGG
rnacentral:rRNA from 1 species